CUCCCCAACUUGUGCGGUGCGUAGCUGAGAGAGAGGCCUGUUUAGAGCGGAGCCAGCAAGCACGCACAGCAGAGCAGCCAUUAGCUGAAAAACUACGGUGAAAAAACUAAAAUAACGGUGCAAACCUGUUGUCUAGCCAGACCGGAAGAGGGGUGUGAGCCAAAUAGGAUUUUAUGCCAUUACGAGACGAGUUUUGGCCAGGUUUUUGAUCCCCCCGAGAGUCAUUGGGAGACCGUUCUGGACCGGAUCGUUUCUGAACUUCUCCUGAUCCAUGGAUGGCGAGCCUACCCAGAGAGCGCGAUAACCCAGGACUGCCGUAGAGCAUCACGUGGUCCUUUUCCUUCUCUUCACUACUAUAAAAUCUCUGCCAAGGUUGCGGUAGGAGUUUGGACACUAACUGUGGAUCCAAUACACUCUAAAGGAGCACUACCAAAAACUGGAUAAGUCUGCUAACACACUUUAAAGAGUUUUGCCAAGCAGUUGGACAUUAAGAAAAACAGUUCUUUAUCUGCUUUGCAUUUUGAAUUGUCUUUUGUUUGAUGUUUGAUAUUUUGUAACUUUAACGGAUACCUUUGGUGUAAAUUUAAAGUGACAAAACUGAUUUAAAAAGUGAAUGGGGUAAAUACAGAGAACUCAAAAGAAAACUUAAGACUAAAAUUAAGUUAAAUAGAUUUAGUUCUGCAACUAAAGUCCCUUUAAACUAAAUGACCGGUCAUCUUUAAGUGAAAUAGAUUGAAACUGAAAAUAGCUUGAACAAAACCUUUUAUUUGAACUUUAACAGGAAAGUAAAGGAAAAACAACAUAAAAGGGUGUUGAAGAGGUGUCUUAACAUUACAUAAGAACCAAAUUUGUAUGUUUAUUGUUGUUUGUCAAUGUUCAGUAAAUUGCCGGCUUUUCAUUCUA